rnacentral:tRNA from 1 species
UUAAUUGAAGCCAAAAUAGAGGCAUCUCAUUGUUAAUGAGAAAAAUGAAUUUAAUCCAAUUAAA